UGUGAAAAUGAUGAAAUUGGGGAUCUGAAAUCAUCUGAAGUUAAGAUGCCAUCCAUUUCCUGAUUCACA